rnacentral:lncRNA from 1 species
GCAGCAGAUGUAGUAGGAGGAGCAGGAGGAUCAGAAUCAGGCACCGAAGAUUCAAUCCCAAUCCUUUUCACCGAUUCUCAGAAAACCUACGUUCGUGAACUCGAUCACAAAUUUAAUUCCCUCCAACGUUCGAUCCAAGAUCUACGCCUUCGAUUACCUCCUCCUGAUAUCUCACAGCGUCUUCCUCAUCUUCACGCUCACUCUUUAGCUUCCAAUAACGCUCUCGCUCUCCAAUUAAACGCGCAUUCCUCCACUCGCCAUCAGGUAUGGAGAAACUACGCGUUCGAUUAUAAAUGAUCUCUGAAAUUGUAAACUGCAUUAUUAGAUUAAUUGUUUUUAAAUUAGUUCAUUUAGUUGUGUAGUUGUUUAAUUACUGAAAUUGAAAAAUUGUCUCUGAAAUUGAAAAUGUUUGAUUAGAUUAGUCUUUUUGAUGUUGGUCAAUUUAGUUAUGAAACAGUUUGGAAUGGCUGAGGAUCCAUGUGAUUGAAGAAUUACAGUUUCGGGGAUUGUUUUGUGAUUUUGUUAAUUGAGUCGUGAAGUUACUGAAGUUGAUAAUACUGGAUGAGUUUAGUCUUUUUGAGUUGGUUAGUUUCGUAACGGAGUUGUUUAAUUCUGGAAAUUCUAGGUGUUUGUCUGUUAAGUUGUAAAGUUAUGAAAUCACAAAAUGAUUCUUGAAAUUGGAAAUGCUCGGUCACUUUAGUUUAUUUUUGAUUCAUCCAGUAUAAUAUCCUCAUCUCUGCUACACAAUAAAGUAUGUGUAGCAAAGAUGAGGAUGUUGCAUUGGAUGUGUGGUAAAAUUAGACAGGAAAAGAUUAUAAAUGAUAAUAUUAGAGAGAGUGUUGGGGUAGCACUCAUAGUAGAAAAGAUGAUGGAAAAUAGACUUACUUAGGUAGUUUGGACUCGGAGAGAGAAGACUUGUAGAUUGUGUGGUAAGGCAAAUAGAUCAGAUGGAGAGAAGUUAAACUACUAGAGGUAGUGGAAGACCUAGAAAAAUUAUAAGAAAAGUUAUCAAGAAAGAUCUCGAGAUUAACGAUUUGGACAAAAGCAUGGUCCUAGAUAGAACAUUAUGACGAAAAUUGAUCCAUGUAGCCGAUCCCACUUAGUGGGAUAAGGCUUGGUUGUUGUUGUUGUGUUGUACUACCUCCGUUUUUUAUUAUAAGUCGUUUUUGUCUUUUCACACGUAUUAAGAAAAAUAAUGAUUGUUGUAUGAAAAUGAGAAAUUCAGAAUGUUUUUACAAAAUUGUCCUUCAUUAAUGACAUGAGAAAAAUAAUUUUACAUAAUUGAAAGGAGAGAGAAUAAUAAACUUUUAAGGGUGUAAUAGGAAUAAUAGCAUUAAUUAUUCAUUGGUAAUGUAAAGUGACUUAUAUUGUGGUACAUUUUUUUUUCUUCUAAAAUGGCUUAUAAUAAAAAACAGAGGAAGUAAUAUUUAGUCAUGCAAUUGUUUAAUAAUUUUUGAAAUUCGAUGUGUUUGUUAAUUUAUUAGUGAAAUUAAUCUGAAAUUUCAAAACGACCUUUGAAAUUGAAAACGCUUGAUUACAAAAAGUUUUCUUUAGUUGGUCAAUUUUGUUAUGAAACUGUUUGGAAUGAUUGAUGUGAUCAGAGAUUUUCAAUUUCAGGAAUCGUUGUGAUUUAUUUAGUUCAAGCUACUAAAUUUUCUACUACAAUUCUAGGGAUUUAAUUGGGGGAUACAUUUGGUUUCAAUUUUUAUAUGCGACUAAUUUACUUCUGUUCUACGAGGGCAGGCCCAGCUUAGAGAGGAGACACUGAAGGAAGAAAAUGCUGCUUUUGAGAAUGCUAUAUCCAAUUGCGAGGAUAAGAUCAAGGAAAAAUUACAGGAGGCUGAACUACUAAGGAGCAAGCUAGAGGUGGGACUGAGGAUUGUUAUAUGUCUUCUGUACUGUGUUAUGCUGAAUGACAAUAUUGUUUGAUGUGUCAGUGUGUGCCAUGAUAGAGACUAUAGAGAGUGAAUGUGAUGUUUUAUUUGGCGGUUUACUUAGUUACAUAUUUUAGGAAUUGAAGUUCAUUGUUUUGUGUUUUAGUUAUUAUUGGUUCUUCUGUUUUGAGUUACAGGAAAUGGAUGAAGCUGAAGAGAAGCUGAAGACUGAGAUAGAAAAUAUGCGGCUGCGAGCUUCUGAAAAUGCUGGCCAAUCUUGGACUGCUGAGAGUUGGGAGGAAGAAAACAAGACAUAUACUAAAACUGGCUUUGAUGCAGAUAUGGAUGGAGAAGUUUCAAAAUCGGCUAUGCUUGACAAAUUGGAAGAAAGGAAGAACGAACUGGUAUUUUGUUUUUAAUCAUACAAUUCUCUUUUGCAUUCUUAACCAUAACAUAUUGUUCAAUAUUGAAUGAGUAAGGGUGCAUUUAGAUCAACAACAUAAUCAAGUGCAUACUCAAU